AUGCUGUGGGGGCCCGGGUCCGUAGGGGCGGGGGCGGCCCGAGGGAAGGCCCCAGGCCCCGCAGCCACACCCAGCCCCGCCACCUUGUUUACGCCUCCGGCUCGGCCCCUCCCGCCCGGCCGGGCACGUGACCUCCGCCCCGCCCCUCGCCCCCUCGCGUGGCUCCUCCCGCCGCGCCGGCCCUUCUUUUCGCCUCCUUCGGAGUCACAAGAUCGCUCAGCGACCUCCUUUCGGGAUCCUUCCGCCAGUCCCCGCCCCCUUCCCUUCAAAGUCUCCUGGGCCCCUUGUCGACCGGCUGGCAUCGUCAGGAAUGAACGGGACGGCCUCGUGCGCCCGGCGGGGCUGCCGGCCGCGGUCAUCUGCCGCCGGGGUCGCGGGGGCGGCGAGGCCCGGCCGGGCACUCUUUUUCGCGGCGGAGGCCGCAGCGGCCGCGGCCACUUCACGCCGGGGGGAGGUGCUGUGCGUCCAAGAUGGCGGCGCCCUGUAGGCUGGAGGAGCUGUGAGGUAAACAGCCGAGGGGGAGGAGACGGUGGUUCCAGUUUUUACUUGAUUGACUGA
rnacentral:lncRNA from 12 species